AAAAAAAAAAACUACAUCAACAAAGUCCAAACAAUCUAAAAAGAAAUCAUGAAUUUUCAAUACUUCUUGAAGNNNNNNNNNNNNNNNNNNNNNNNNNNNNNNNNNNNNNNNNNNNNNNNNNNNNUCAAUACUUCUUGAAGAAUUGGGACGAUGUUGAUAAAGAAUUACAAAUUGAAGAAAUUGCAAGGAUCGACAAAAAGGGACAUCAUUUUAACUCGUUCAUAUGCCACUUUGUUAGUAUCCUUAUUUGUAAUAUCAUCACAGAGUAUGUUAUAAACUCUGUGAUGAUCAUAAAAUAUUUGGUCUUGUCAAGUUCGUAUUUUUUGCAUUCCUGUUAAUAUGUGAGGUUGUCAAGCCUCAAUAGGAUUUAGUACGGUAUGUUUAUCCUGGUGUGUGUUAUAUGGAUAACAAUACCGGUUCUAAUGCCCCCUUAUUUGUACUUUUUCUAAUUGUUGUAAUUUUCUUUUAUGCUAUUAAUAAAAAGCUAGCCCUAGACACUUGCCUAGUAAAUUGCAAAAAAAAAGUGGUUGAUUUAGCAAUUAAAAUACAUAUACAUCCCAUAUAACAAACCUUAUAACUACUCAUGUUUAAGGUUAUUGUUUAUUACAUUUAAGUAUACCAUGUUUCAAUUUAUGUACCAAAAUUUACUUUUAAGGUUUANNNNNNNNNNNNNNNNNNNNNNNNNNNNNNNNNNNNNNNNNNNNNNNNNNNNNNNNNNNNNNNNNNNNNNNNNNNNNNNNNNNNNNNNNNNNNNNNNNNNNNNNNNNNNNNNNNNNNNNNNNNNNNNNNNNNNNNNNNNNNNNNNNNNNNNNNNNNNNNNNNUCUUUUUUUUUUAACACCAAACUAGCAACACUUUUAUUUAAUAGUAGACUGGAAAUACUUAUAUUUGUGAAACAUAAUAGUCAAGUAGCUGGAAAUCGUCUUUAUUCCUCCAUACAAGUUGAGAAUUCUAAACUCAUGGAACAACAUAUCGUCCACAUCUCUUCCCAACAGGUCUAUUCUUGAUGUUGCACCUCUUGGGGAUAGUGACAGCAAUAGCAGUAUUAACUCCUGCAUUUUUAGCAGCUGGUGACAGUAAUGCCGCACAUAGGCAUUUUGGAGAAGUCUUUAGCAAAUCCCCAAAUUCACCACAGCAUGCUGGAGGGACUUUUAUCCUACCAUUUUUGGCUGCUGCAAGACAUGGAAUUAAGCUAGCAGCUGGUGCAUUUCCACAUCCUCCUACUUUUCCUGCUGCAUUUGCUUGAGGAAUAAAUGAAUUACUUAUAGUUAGCAAGUAAACAAGUAUGGCCACAAUCCAAAUGUUAUAAACUUUGGAAGCCAUAAUUUUGGUUAAAAUAGAGAACUCUUUCUUUCUAAGUGUAUAAUAUAUGGUUGGUUUUAAAAACUACAUUUACCUACAUUUGACUACAUUUUAAAAACUCACUGGAAAUAUUUCAUAUAACCUUAACUAUAUUUACCUACAUUUGACUACAUUUUAAAAACACACUGGAAACAGUGCAUAUAACCUUAACUACAUUUGACUACAUUUAACUACAUUUUAAAAGCUUCUUCAUUUAUUGGAUUAGUUGAAUAGGAUUGCCAAAUCAUAAUUUCAUGAUUUUGUUUACUUUCAUCAAUAUAUAUAUAUAUAGUGAUAAAUUAGAAGAAAGGAGUUUUCUUAAAUUAUUUUUUAUGCAUAAUUCUCGAUAAAUUUUAUAUUUAAAAAAUUGAGAGUAUUUUAGUGAAAUUAUCAGUUACAAUAUAGUGAAACCAAAUAGCAAAAUAUUAUCUAACAACAAUAAAUAAUACAAUCUAUCUAAAUAUUAUAUUCAUAAAACAAUACAAUAAAAACAAUACAUUAUAAAACGAUAUGUAACAACCAUCAAACAAGUUGUUAUAUUUGGCGUUACCUUAGAGCUUUUAUUCUUUUCCAUAAAUUUUGUAGACAAAAUAAUUUAUUUAUCUUUUCCUGUAAGUAAGAAGAGUAAAUUAUAUAACAGAUUCGCUUGAUUGCUUCCAUAACUAAGUUAACGCCAAAUCUUAAAUGUUAUUUUCCAUAAUUAAGUUAUUCGUAAGUAUUCAAACAAGAAAGUAUGAUUAAUUGAAGGGAUUUUUACCUUAAUUGAUUUAGUAUUUAUUUGGUGCAAAAUCAAAGAUUAAUUAGGAGCCAUAAAUACAUGAGUUAUUUUAGGAUACAAUUCAUUUAACAUAGAUUUGAGCCUUAAUAAAAGGCGUUAUUUUAGGAGGCAACAUCAGGAAAUAUUCCGUUUGGUACAUAUUGUGUAACAAAAACAUGAGAUAUGAUGGUAAUAAUCAAACAAUGCACAAUAAUAGUAGUAAGGUUUGUUAUAUGGGAUGUAUAGGUAAAAAUCCAAAAAAAAAGCUUGGAUUGUUGACAUUUCCAACUAGACUAAGCAAAACCAAUAGCCCAAUUGCCCAAAAUAGCAGCCCAAACCCAUGCCCAAUCCGCCCCAUAACCCGCCUGGCCCAUCCCUUCCCUCUUCCCCCUCUAUCUGAAGAAGUAGCAAUCGUUCCCUCCUCCAUGAAAUCCUCUCUCUCUCUCAACACAAGAGAUCANNNNNNNNNNNNNNNNNNNNNNNNNNNNNNNNNNNNNNNNNNNNNNNNNNNNNNNNNNNNNNNNNNNNNNNNNNNNNNNNNNNNNNNNNNNNNNNNNNNNNNNNNNNNNNNNNNNNNNNNNNNNNCCCCCCCCCCUAUUUAGGAAAAACAACCGCUAGAUGCCGCCUUAUCCCUCCUCACCAUCUCAUCAACAUUGAGUAUGUGCAUUUUCUUCCCCCAAAACGAUCACUCUUUUCUCUCAUCUCAUUCAUACACAGAUCUAAAAGAGAAGAGAGGUUCUUCAAAUUUCAAAUAAUUCGAAUAUGAAAACAAAGGCUCUAAAAAGGGAAGAUGAAUGCUUUGAUGAAGAUUUGAAGUCCAUCGGGUCACUGAAAACUCAAAGCUCAAAUACUCCUCCCCAGUUCCUAUAGAUGAUGUUGAGUUCGAGUUGCUAAUUUCUCCCAAUAUUGUUGAAUCUUAGCUCCAAUUUACUGAUUUCUGGCAUGUAUUUAGCCUCCUUUGCUUCUAAAUUUAGUCUUUGAGCAGAUAGGUAUGUUCUUUACAAAACUAUUCUAAAGAUCUGUUUUCAUUCGUAAAUCGUAAUGUUAUUUGGUUCCUGUAUUACUAAAGUUAUUUUUGCCAUAUGAAUAUAAAUAUAAAAGGUUGUUGUUGAUUUUAGAAUCACUAUUGUCUUUUAAAAAAUACUAGUACAAUUUAGUACUCCCUCCAGAUGUUUUAAUUAAGACACCUAAACCAGAAAAUUGGUCCAGAUUUCUUCAUUUUAGAAAAGAUGAAGCUAAGGCACUAAUAUUUAUUUGUUUAGAUCUGAUUCUGAACAGUGAUUAUGAAAUCGUUUGUUGUUUAGUUCAUCUACUGCUACUGGUUGCAUUUGUUUGUGUAUAUCUAAUUUCAUACAAUUAAAUUUGAAUUGGAGCUUGAUUUUUUGGUUAUAUCCGAGCUGCAUGAAAUGUGAGCAACUUUAUUGUACUAGCUUGUUUCCUAUUUUGAGUAAUGUCACAUGCUGAAAUGAAACUUGUAUAAUCUGCUAGUUUUAAAAGUGAGUGACUCAAUCAUCACUCUGUUGUUCAUAUAUCGCUUUCAUUGAAACAAGGCGUAACGACCCAACUAGUCAUUUUAAGCUCUAGCAUGUUGUUCAGCAGUUUGAGGUCAUAAACAGCUUUACAUUAGGUAUUAUAACUUGUACGCAUAGUCAAAAUUGAAUUUCGGAAAGUUCGGAGUUGAUUUGGAAAGAGAAUUCUUAUUUCGGAAGCUUUAUGUUGAAAGAAUUGACUAAGAUUGGAUUUUUGAGUUAUCGACCUCAUAAUUGGGAUCUAAAAGUUCUAGUAGGUUCAUAUGAUGAUUUCGGACUUGGGCAUAUGCCUGGAUCGGGUCAUGGAUGAUCCGAGAGCAUUUUGGCGCCUAUUGUGUAAGUUAGCAUUUUGGAAGAAAUUUCAUAAGUUUGGUUGUUGAAGUGCAUUUCGGUAUUAUAGAUGUCUGUUUGGGAUUCUAAGUCUUGGAGUAGCUCCAUAUGGUAAUUAUGGAGUUGGGAGCGCGAUUGGAAGUGAAUUCGGAGGUCCAUAGGUCAUUUUGAAGUCAUUUGGCUAAAGAUAGAAAUUUGAAGGUUUUUGAGAAGUUUGACCAAGAGUGUACAAGUGUGACAUGUAGUCANNNNNNNNNNNNNNNNNNNNNNNNNNNNNNNNNNNNNNNCAUAGGUCAUUUUGAAGUCAUUUGGCUAAAGAUAGAAAUUUGAAGGUUUUUGAGAAGUUUGACCGAAAGUGGACUUUUUGAUAUCAAGGUCGGAUUUUGAUUUCGAAAGUUAGAGUUGGUCUGUAAUGUCGAAUAUGGCUUGUGUGCAAAUUUUAAGAUUAAUCGGACGUGAUUUAACGGGUUUCAGCAUUGAAUGUAGAAGUUUGAAAUUUCAAAGUUCGUAAAGCUUGAAUUGGAGUGUGAUUCAUGGUUUUAGCAUUGUUUUGAUAUGAUUUGAGGCCUCGAGCAAGUCCGUAAUGUGUUAUGGGACUGGUUUAUGUUAUUGGACGGGGCCUUGGGGGCCUCGGGUGUGUUUUGAGGUGGUUUCAGAUCAUUUUCGGCUGUUUUGCAAUAGCUGAUGCUGGUGUCUGGUGUUGUUCGUCGCGUUCACGAGGAUCCCUUGCUUUCGCAAGAAAGAUUUUGCUUCAGGGACUCUGUUAGCGAAGAAGGAAAUCUCGUUUUCACAUAUCUGACUUCGGAGGCUCAUAUCUUGUAAUCUAUAAUGAAUUUGGAGAUGAUCAAAAAACAAAAGUUGUAUUCCUCUGUGUCUAGUUUUGAAAAAGGUAAACCAUUUAGUAUUUGAAUUUAUAUACAAAAAGUAAUGUCUGGUACACUAUAGGCUGUCCGGGAAGAUGAAGAAAUUGUGCUGCAUAGGGUUGACUUUUGGUGACUUAUAUCUCAAAAUCUAUAACGAAUUGGGAGAUGACCAAAACAUAAAAGUUAUAGGUAUUGGUGUCUGGUUUUCAAAACAUUAAACCAUUUGUCAUUUGGAGUUUCUUUUAAAACCUUAUGGCUAUUAUACUAGAGUCCAUCUGAGAAGAGUUUCAAAAAUUAUUUUUGGAAAUUUUCUUCUUCGCGAAUGCGACGGGGGUUUCGCGAGAGUCGUAUGGGUAGUGUAUAAGUGUAAAGAAAUGGGUUUAGCUAAUUUCAUUUCAUUUAUUCCAUGGGAACCCUCACUUUCAACCGAGAUGUUGUGAGUUCGAGUCUCCGCAAGAGCAAGGUGGGAAGUUCUUGGAGGGAAUGAUGCCGGGGGUCUAUUUGGAAACACCCUCUUCACCCAAGGGUAGAGGUAACGUCUGCGUAUACACUACCCUCUCCAGACCCCACUAAGUGAGAUUAUACUGGUUGUUGUUGUUGUUACUCCAUGGGAACCGACCUAGGAGCGAUUUUGGAGCUCCAUUUUCAUCAUCUAUGUCUAGGUAAUUACUUGAUUCCCACCUAUUGCAAGUUAGUUCCUUCGAUUAAAUCUCGAUUUUAACAUAAAAAAUCAUGUGAGUUAAUUGAAAUUUUGGGAUUGUGAAGAAAACCUAGGAAAUUUGUCUUCUUAGAUUUUGACCACAAUUUUGGACAUGAAAUUGAGAGCCACCUAUAUAUUUGAGUUUGUCAGGCUAUGGGUAAACUUUAUCUUCGAAAAAUUUAGGAAUCCGGACACGUGUCCUGAUGACAAUUUUGCCAACUUUUCUAUCGGGGUUAGAAAUUUUUAUAAAUUGGAUUGUAACGAGUAAUUGGGCAUAUAUUAAAGGAAUUGCAUAAUUAUUAUCUAGCUUUAGAGAAUUUAACAUCGAUUCGAGUCUUUAAAAGGGCGUGGAUUGUCGGUUAAGGAUCUUGGAAGCGAGGUGAGUCUCAUUUCUAACCUUUUAAGAUGGAAUUGUACCCAUAGGUAAAAUAAUUGGUUAUGUGCUCCCUUUCGUGGGGGCUACGUACGCACGAGGCGACGAGAGUCCAUGCGUAGCUACUAAUAUGUGUAAGUGCAGGUAGUCUAGGAUCCUAAAGCAUACUAUACUUGGAAUAUCUGUAAUUUUGUUGGCAGUUGAAUUCUUUAAAUCCUAUCGAAUUGGUAAAUGAAUUUCUAAAAGGAUUAAACUUCGUUUUCUUAAAUCAUUAAAAGAGAAUAGGCUUUUAUUUGGAUAAAUAUUUUCCGAUAAAUUCUUAAUUGGCUGUUUGAACAUGUAUUUCUAUGUAUACCUGCGUCGCAUGUCUGAGUCGCGAGCAUGGUGAUUGUUUAUUUAAAUUUGGCCGCGUCGCAUGUAUGAUUCGCGAGCGGGUUAAUAGAUACAUCUAUGGUUCGCGCUGUUUGACCCUCGACAAUGUACAUUUUACUGUUGUUGGACCGGGUCAUACGACAUCGGCAUGAAUUGCACAUGCUUGUAUUGCUUGCCUUGAAACUUAUUGAAGUUGUCAUUGCAUAUUCCCGGCAAAAGAAUAUAUGUAUAAAUAAUGAAAAGGAAUUUAAAAAUUCCCUAUAAAGGAAAGAAUUGUUUACUUGCUUCAACCUAUCGAAUUACAAUCAUAUUUAUAUAAAUUCACGAUUUAAUAUAUUAUUGAUAUAAUAUUAUUGGGCCACUAGUAAGUAUCGAAGUCGACCUCUCGUCUCUACUUCUUCGAGAUUAGAUGGGAUACUCAUUGGGUACACGUUGCGCAUUUUUGUUACGCAAGCUAUCGUCUCUAGUCGCUUAGUGGGCAUAGCAACAUGGUUGAUACGAAUACUUGGGUGAGCUGCAUUUCCCGAGACUACCCGCAGCUAGCAAGUCUCUUUCAGAUUACUGUAUUUAUUUUUUGUCCGAUAUUUUAUUUCUAACGGUUGUUGUAUUAUAUUAUUUCUCAAAAACUUUUCAUGCACUUGUGACAUCGGGUUUUUGGAUGUCUUUGGGUUUAUUCAGAAAUUUAUAAGUUGUUAAAUAUUUCCAUAUUUAUUCAGAGGAAUUUCCUAUGUAUAAUUUAAACGUACAAAAAAGGUUAUUUCUGAAAUAUUUAAAACGAAAAUUUAAUUGAAUAUUUUGGUUGACUUGCCUGAUAGCAGUGUCCGACGCCAUCAGAACCAUUAGUGGAUCUUGGGUCGUGACACAAGAUAUUGGCAUAAGAGUAGACUUGGUUAAAUAUUUAAUGUUUUAAGUUAGUCACAAUGAAUUCUGAAUUCGUUUCUUUCACGUGUAGUGGGCUUGACAAUCAACCAUUCUUCAAACAAUCACUACACGCUAAUAUGCGUUUAAGACAAAUAUCUUACAUCUUUGUCACAAAUAAUUCCAUAACGCAAGGCCUUUAUAAUAAUCUCAAAUUAUCUUUAAGAAUAACCAUGAACAUUCGUAUUGCUUUAGGCGAUAAAUAAAUCAUCACGGCUAUGGGACGGUUCCCAUGGCAAUGUCGUGAUACAUAAUUUUCAACUCGGAUGUGUAUUUCAUGUGAUCCGAUCAUAACUUUGAAUAAUGAUUAAAAUAAACAUGUUAUUAUCGUGGGUUCAUUUCAUGUGACGCGAUUCGCAAUAUGUACUAAAAAGCGAGUGCAUAACAUCUUGACUUGUUCAAACAAAAAAAAUUCAAAAAACCAAAGUAUUUGCGUAAGAGUCCCGCUUUCGAAAAUUAAAAGCCAACAUCCAAAUAAAAAAAUAUUUUCUUUCUUCUUUAAAAAAAGAGAAAAAAAGUUAAAAUUGAGAGAAAAAAGUUUCUUUUUACUUUAGAAAUUCCCAAAGUUCAAACCAAAAGAAAAAAGAAUUUUAGAAGUCUUUCUUUCAGAAAAGAAAAAAUCAAAUCAAAAUCAAAAACAUAUUUUCUUUCUACUUCUAAAGCAUUUCUUUCGAAAAUUCAAAAACAAAAUACAAAUUCAAAAUGUGUUUUUUUUUUCCUCUUAAAGCUUUCAUGGUCAGAGUUUUAUAAAAAAUAAACAAAAAAAGAGUUAGCUUAUUUACUCCAUUCUCGAUCUCUCCGAACUAUGCAAGAUCUGAUUCAAGCGACUUCAUGAUAUGUAGGCAAUCACCAUCAUAUUCGAUAAUAGCCAUAAAAUUUAAUUGGGUGAAAAAUCUACUGAAAAAAAAGAGAAAGAAAUAUUGAGUGCAAAAAAAAAGAGGAAAAAAAAAAGAAAAAAAGAGAGUGACAAAAAAUAAAAGAGUGACAAAAAUAAAAAAGAAAAGAAGGUGCCAAAAAAUAAAAGGGAAACAUAAAUGAAAUGACAAAAAACAUGAGUGAUUACAAAGCGGCAGAAAUAAAAGAAAAGAGGUACAUACUAAAAGGGUUAGUGAAGGCCAGGUUCUGUUCAGGUGGUUGGUUUUGUUGGUAUGCGGUGAUGAAUACGACCUUGCAUGCGAAGAAAAUAUUAUACACAAAACCGAGCUCCACUACUUAGAAAUGUCCAUCCUUACCAAGCUCCAUACAAUCCCCAAUAAAAUUUUCCUCAGUACAAUCCUCGCCCAAAAGACCCUUUCAAAUGGAAUCAGUUCACCCCUAUUGAUGAAUCAAACUCGGGCUUGUUCCAAAAGCUAAUCAGGUGAGGUCUCCUGCAGCCAGUGGCCCAAACCGGCCAAACCCCGAGUCCCCCUUGCACCGUACUGAUGCUAGAUGUGAUUACCACUAGGGAGCAGUGGGACACAACAUAGAGGACUGGUGGACCCUCAAAAGAGCAAUUGAAGAUUUGUUCGAAGAUGAAAGAAUUGUUCUUCAGGACAAAGAGGCUCCUGAUCUUGUCACUUUUCUUAUUCUCUUUCAGUUCUGUUAAAUGCAUAUUUCAAUAACAUGACAUGCAUGCGAACUUCAUGCCCUGAUCCUGAAAUGCUGUCAGACCUCGAAAAAAUGAAUCAAGAAUUAGACUGCAAUGUAGAUAAGUUUAAGAAAAUAAAACAAAGAGUUGGAACAGCUAAUGAAAUAUUGGCUCUAGAUUGGAAAGAUACAUACAUGGUAACAAGAGUACUACCAAAGGGAACUUUGAACAUUGGAAACAUCGAUGAAAAUGUCCCAGUAACAACUAUCAAUGCAAAUACAACCAAAAUUUACUAUAUUUGAUUAUCCUCUUUAGAACUUGAAAGUGUUAUUGAAAAAAAAAAGUGAAAAGAUAAAUUGAAAUGAAAAAAAAAGAGAUGAAAAAGGGGAAGGGAAAAACAAAGAGAAAAGAAAACAAAACAGAAAGAAAAGAAAAACAAAAGAAAAUCAAAAGAAAAUUUCCUUGAAUUACGUUCGACUUGAUUUCGAAAGGAUACGUAAGCAACCUCUCUUUGGAGUUCAUUCAUACCAAAAAUAAAAAUUCAAAUUCCCCCAAAAAUUGAAAUUGGGGCAGAAGUUAUAAUGGUGCGGCGAUGGUUUCGCAUGAAAGGUUCCAAAGUUGUAAUUCAAUUCAAAUUUUUUUUACCCCAAAAUCCCGUUCAAGCCUUUCCGAUCAAUUGGUAAAGAAGUUCAAAACUGGAGGAUACAAUUACUUGGAUCUGAUACAACCAAAUAAGUGAAAUUAAAUGAGAGAGUCUUAUGGGGUAAAACCCAUGCGGGCACCGUAAGAUGACGGUAACCAGUGAAAGGAAAAUGAGAGAGUCUUGUUAGUAAAAACUUGCAAAGAUCACUAUAAGGCGACAAUGAGAAGAGAAAUGCGAGAGGUCAGCUGGUGAAAACCCACAAAGGGCACCCCUGAUCAAAAAGGGUAUCCUCACAACCAUCGGUAUCGAUACAGUCCUGAGCAAGGUUUCUCGGUUUCAAGUUAAAACUUAUGAUGAAUUUCUGAGAGUUGGACAGUUUGCACAGAUCAGGCAUCCAGUCUAAAAGACAUGUCAUGUUCAUUGAAGUCCGCAUGUACUCCAGAUAAGUCCUUCUUUUCUUUCACAGAAAGGGACACUUCUUGUUUUAAACUCAUUCUUCAUUCCAUUAUUUGUUUUCUUUAAAUCCCUUUCUAUCACAAUCUAGAUUUCCCACCCACAGGAAUUAUGACGGCGCCUACUAGUGAAAGCUAGGGAAGACAAUGAUUCCAAUUAUUUUACCCCUUUACAUUUUUAAUCCAUGAACAAUUGUAAAUUAACAUUUUUAUAAACAAUGAAAAUUAAUAAAGGGGAGGAAUGAAAUUUAACAAUUUAGCUAAUACCAAUACGAAUCCAUAACUUAAACCACCCAAAAAUGGUGCCACAAUCUCAUGGACUAUCUAAGAAAACUAAAAAUAAAGUCUGAACAAGAAAGUACAUGUCUUUUUCCGAAAUAGUAUAGAACAAAUGAAAUUAGAUAGGGAGGGGAUACCAGGGCCUGCGGAUGCCUGCAUGGAUUAGGUCGGGUCUCCUUUUAGACUGAGGCAGCAACUCCAAGCUAAGGUCCGUAUACACCAGUACCAGGAUCUACACAAAGAACGCAGAAUGUAGUAUCAGCACAACUAAUCCCAUGUGCUGAUAAGUUUCGAGCCUAACCUCAGCGAAAUAGUGACGAGGCUAGGACACAACAACCAAUAACCUACAACAAAACAAUAUCUAACAGAAUAUAGGUAAAAAAAUAAUUCAGAAGUAAUAGGGAAAGGGUAACAUGCUAUGUGGAAAAUACCAACAUAAUGAAUCACAGUAAUAGUGGAAUAAGACAACUAAGGUAUUUGAACCCAAGCAGCAAGAAAUCAUAAUACACAUGCAAUAAGUGCACGACACGACCCUUUGUGCUUUUACUCUCAAUCCUCACCAAUGCAAUCAAAUAAUAAAAAUGUGCACGACAUUACCCGUCGUGCUUUAUCUCUCUUCCUCACCAUAUAAAUAUUUGAAAUGUGCACGACAUCACCCUUCAUGCUUUAUCCCUCUUCCUCACCAUAUGCAUCAAUAUCAUUAAAAAUGUACAAGGAAUCACCCUUCGUGCUUUAUCACUCUUUCCUCACGAAAUGUAUAACACUCGUCGUGAUUUAUCUCUCUUCCUCACCGUAUAAAUAUUAGAAAUGUGCACGACAUCACCCUUCAUGCUUUAUCUUUCUUCCUCACUAUAUGCAUCAAUAUCAUUAAAAAUAUACAAGGCAUCACCAUUCGUGCUUUAUCACCCUUUCCUCACCAAAUGUAUAAAUAUGAAUGUGCACGACAUCAACCUUCAUGCUUCAUCACUCUUUUCUCACCCAAGCAAAAACAAUAAUAAUAUCCCAGCAAGAGAAUCAACAACAAAAAAUAAAUACAUCCCAGCAAGGGAAUCAACAACAAGAAUAAACACACCCCGACAAGGGAAUCAACAGUAAUAAAUAAGUAUGUCCCGGCAAGGGAAUCAACUAUAAUCAAACUUGUACCAACGCUUAACUUCACAAUCAACACCUUAAUUGGAGCCAAUGUUCAACAAAUACCACAAAUUAAUCAUAGGUUUUGCUCAACACGGAGAAUCAACAAUUUAGGAAAUUUUAGUACUCCCUCCAUUUCAUAUUAAAUUAGGUACUUUCCUUUUUAGUCUGUUCCAAAAUAAAUGACAAAUUUCUAAAUUUGGAAAUAAUUUAACUUUAAACUCUUUCAUUUUACCCAUUUACACUUAAUUAGAAGCUUUUAUAGCCAUAAAAAUAUUAUGGCCCCACAAACGUUUUACCCCUUAAGCUUUUAAGAGCACAAGUUCCUAAAGUCUUUCUUAAACUCCUUGCCGAGUAAAACUACCUCAUUUAAUGUGAAACGGGGGGAGUACCUAUUAUGAAAUACAACAAUUAGAAUUUAUGACUCACGGGCAUGCUUGACACCAACGUAUAGAUACUUGUCACCACACCGAUACGUCGUAUACUACACUAGCACAUAGAAAAAAAGGCACAAUACCUAUUCCCUCAAGCUAAGGUUAGACCAAACACUUACCUCGAACUUCCACGACCAACUCAAGCCUCACACAUUGCUUUUCCUUUAGAAUUCGCCUCCAAUUCAAUCGUCUCUAGCCCAAAUUAAUUUAACAACAUCAAUAAAGGGUAAAGAAUUCAUACCCAAUGCUUAAUUAUAGGUUUUCUAUCAAUUUCCUCAAAAAACAAAAAUUGACUUGAGCCCUCUUGGUAAAAACUCGAGGUUUAGACCAAAUCCCGAAUAUGCAAUUACUUUCGAAAUCCGACCCCAAAACGAGGUCAAAAUUCCAAAUAUUCAAAAAAUCCUAACUCUACUCAAAAUCCUAAAUCUACCAUGGAAGAACAAUAUUUAGGCCUAGAAAUCUAAUGGGUAUUGAUGAAAAAUGAAGGAGAUCAGUUUAGGAACACAUACCUAUAAUUUGGUAUUGAUUUUGCUGUUUCUGCUGCUAUUUAAAAUAGUUGGGCGACAAUGCUCAUCGUGAUCGCUUAAACGCUAUUGCGAUCGCAAAGAGCAGCCUCCGAAGGACUCUUACGCAAUCGUGAUAUUCUCCAUGCGUUCGUGAAGUGUAUACCCCCUGGACCUCGUGUUUGCAUACCAACGUGCACGUUCACGUAGAAUAAAAGGUCGAUUCCCAACCCCCAUCCAUAUUACACUAUGCGUUCGCGGGACAAGGGUCGUGUUCGUGUAGAGCAUCCCCCCAGCGCUUCGCGUUCACAUCCUUCUCUUCGCGUUUGCAUAGAGAAAUUUACACCCCAACCUAGUUCUCUUUCGCGAUCGCGAGACUUGCUACGUGAUGCACAAAAUGUUUGUGCACUAAAGCAACAAAACCUGCUACUUUUCUCAGUGUAAAAAACUUCCGAAAUCUAUCCGCAACUCACCGGAGCCCCGCAGCUCUAAACCAAACAUGCAUACUAAUUCAAAAACAACAAAUGAACUUAUUAGUGUGAUCAAAUCGCCAAAUUAACACCUUUAAUGAUGAAUUUAUCAUCAAAAUCAAAGAAGAAUUUCAAGAACUCUUAAGUUCAAAUAUUAACAAUCGAGUGUCCAAUUCACGUCAUAUCAAGUCCGUUUCUUACCAAAUUUUACAGACUCGAACUAAAUACCAUAUAAGACCUGUACCGGCAUCCGAAACCAAAUACUAGCCCGAUACCAUCAAUUUCAAAUACAUUUAAAUUUCUAAAAACUCUUAAAAUUUCAGUCAAAUAAGUUUCUUCAAGAAUUCAUUUCUCGGGCUUGCGACCUCGAAAUUCAAUUCCAGGCAUACACCCAAGUCCCAUAUUUUUCUGGGACCAUCCGAGAUCGUCAAAUAAUAGGUCCAGGUCCAUUUACCCAAAAUGUUGACCAAAGUCAACUUAAAUUCAACUUUAAAGGCUAAAUUAGCAUUUUCAUCAAAUUUUCACAUAAAAGCAUUCCAGAUAUAUGCUUGGACCGUGCACACAAAUCAAGGUGAGAUAAAAUGAGGCUUUUAAGUCCUCAGAACAAAACAUUUACUCGAAAAUCAAGUGAAGACCUUUUGGGUCUUCACAUCCUCCACCUCUAAAACAACAGUUCAUCCUCGAACGGACAUAGAAAAGAAAUACCUGAGUUGGGAAAAGAUGCAGAUAUCGGCUCCGCAUAUCAGAUAGACUCCGAGAUAGCUGCCUCGGUAGGCUGACCUCUCCAUUGAACAUGAACUGAAGAAAACAUCUUCGAACUCAACUGACGAACCUGCCGGUCUAGAAUAGCCGCCGGCUCCUCCUUAUAGGUCAAGUCCUUCUCCAACUAGACAGUGUCUGAAGUCUAACACGUGGGAUGGAUCGCGGUGAUACUUGAAAAGCAUGGACACAUGAAACACUGGGUGCACAGCUAAUAAACUCGACGACAAUGCAAGUCUGUAGGCCACCUCACCCACUUGAUCAAGAAUCUCGAAAGGACCAAUGAACCUAUGGCUUAGCUUUCCCUUCUUUCCAAAUCUCAUCACGCCCUUCAUGGGCGACACCCGCAGCAACACCCGUUCUUCGACAAUAAAUGCCACAUCACGAACCUUGCGGUUGGCAUAAAUCAUCUGCCUGGAUUAAGCUGUACGAAGACUGUUAUGAAUAAUCUUCACUUUGUCCAAGGCAUCCUGCACUAGAACAAUACCCAACUCCACAAGAAGCUCAGCAAACUCUUGAACUAGCGGAAGCUAAUGUGAAAAAGGCUGAAGGAAGNNNNNNNNNNNNNNNNNNNNNNNNNNNNNNNNNNNNNNNNNNNNNNNNNNNNNNNNNNNNNNNNNNNNNNNNNNNNNNNNNNNNNNNNNNNNNNNNNNNNNNNNNNNNNNNNNNNNNNNNNNNNNNNNNNNNNNNNNNNNNNNNNNNNNNNNNNNNNNNNNNNNNNNNNNNNNNNNNNNNNNNNNNNNNNNNNNNNNNNNNNNNNNNNNNNNNNNNNNNNNNNNNNNNNNNNNNNNNNNNNNNNNNNNNNNNNNNNNNNNNNNNNNNNNNNNNNNNNNNNNNNNNNNNNNNNNNNNNNNNNNNNNNNNNNNNNNNNNNNNNNNNNNNNNNNNNNNNNNNNNNNNNNNNNNNNNNNNNNNNNNNNNNNNNNNNNNNNNNNNNNNNNNNNNNNNNNNNNNNNNNNNNNNNNNNNNNNNNNNNNNNNNNNNNNNNNNNNNNNNNNNNNNNNNNNNNNNNNNNNNNNNNNNNNNNNNNNNNNNNNNNNNNNNNNNNNNNNNNNNNNNNNNNNNNNNNNNNNNNNNNNNNNNNNNNNNNNNNNNNNNNNNNNNNNNNNNNNNNNNNNNNNNNNNNNNNNNNNNNNNNNNNNNNNNNNNNNNNNNNNNNNNNNNNNNNNNNNNNNNNNNNNNNNNNNNNNNNNNNNNNNNNNNNNNNNNNNNNNNNNNNNNNNNNNNNNNNNNNNNNNNNNNNNNNNUUUUACGAACUUGAUGUCGACAAAUCUGCGAAUCUAGAAAUUCAUUUCGGCCAAUUGAACCUUCUCGAACUGUUUCUUUUUAAGAACCAAAAAUAUUUGUGCCAAAAUAACAGAUGCCAAGAAGAACAAAAGUCCUUGGACACGUAAUGGAUCUUGAAGUACUAUUUCUGCAUCUCCGACAGAGCCUCUCUGACUCAAACCAUCCAAGCGGUGAUAUCACCUACCAUAUAAAAACUCAUAGGGAGCUAUCUGGAUGCUUGAAUGGUAGCUGUUGUUGUAUGAAAACUCUGUUAAAGGUAAGAGCUGAUUGUACAAACCUCCAAAGUCUAUAACGCAAUCUCGGAGCAUAUCCUCCAAAAUCUGAAUAGUACGGUCAAACUGUCUAUCCAUCUGGGGAUAAAGUGAUGUGCUCAACUCACGCUGAACUACCUGUGUACCCAACUCACGCUGAGCUACCCUCUAAAAAUGGGAGGUAAACAGAGUACCUCGAUCAUAAAUGAUAGACAUGGGCAUACCAUGAAGACAAACAAUCUCCCGGAUAUAGAUCUCAGCUUACCUCUGGGAAGAAUAGGAGACUGCCACAGGAAUGAAAUGUGGUGACUUGGUCAGCCUAUCAAAAAUAACCCACACUGCAUCGAACUUCCUCUGAGCCUGUGGGAGUCCGACAACAAAGUCCAUACUUAUACGCUCCCACUUCCACUUAGGAAGAUCAAUCCUCUGAAACAAACUACCAAGUCUCUGAUGCUCGUACUUUACCUGCUGAAAGUUCAAAUAUCAAGCCACAUACAUAACAAUAUCCUUCUUCAUUAUUCUCCAUAAAUAGUGCUGCCGCAAAUCCUGAUACAUCUUAGCGGCUCCCGGAUGAAUAGAAUACCGGGAACUAUGGGCCUUCUCUAAAAUCUAUUCACAAAAUCUGUCUAUAUUAGGCACACAAAUACGACCCUGCAUCCUCAAAACUCUAUCAUCUCCAACUGUAACAUGCUUGGAACCUCUGUGUCACACUGUGUGUCUAAGGACAAGUAAAAUGAGGAUCAUUAUACUGCCGAUCUCGGAUACGCUCAAAUAAUGAAGAACGAGCGAUUGUUCAAGCUAAAACACGACUGGGCUCAGAACAUCCCACUAGAUGAACUAAUUGGCUAAAGCCUGAACAUCCAAAGCAAGCGGUCUCUCCAGAACCGGAAUAUACGCAAGGCUUCCCAUACUGGCGGAUUUCUUAGUCAAUACAUCGGCCAAUAUACUGGCCUUUCCGGGAUGAUACAAUAUGGUAAUAUCAUAGUCUUUCAACAGCUCCAACCACCCCUUCUGCCUCAAAUUCAGCUCUUUCUACUUGAACAAGUAUUGCAACCUCUUGUGAUCCGUGAACACUCAUAGAACACGCCAUAUAAAUAAUGCCUCCAAAUCUUCAGUGCGUGAAAAAUGGCGGCUAACUCCAAAUCAUGAACUGGAUAAUUCUUCUAAUGGAUCUUUAACUACUGCGAAGCAUAUGCAAUAACCUUGCCAUUCUGUAUCAACACCUCACCAAGCCCAACACGCGAUGCAUCACAAUAUACUGUAUAUGACCCUGAACCUAUAGGAAAAACCAACACCUAAACUUGGCACCCUUUUAGGUCAACCUGGUCAUCGGGGCUGCAAUAGAUGAAAAUCCCGGUCACACCUCCUUUUGGCGUGCCCCGCAAAGGGCGAAGGAGUUUUUUCCAAUUAAAGGACAAUCAAACAGGAUUGAUUUAUUAAGUUCAGAGUCGCCACUUGGGAAAUUUGCGGUGUCCCAAGUAACCGGUUUUAAUCCCGAAUCUAGGAAAGGAUUGACUCUAAUUUACAGUCUGCGUACCAAAUAUCCGGAUAAGGAAUUUUGUUAACCCGAGAGAAGGUGUAAGACAUUCCCAAGUUUCGUGGUUCUAGCAGGUCGCUCAACUGUUUUAUUUGGCUUAUUAUCUUAUUAUUAAACAAUAUGUUCUUGGUGCAAAAUGUAACUUUUUACUGCUUUUAUUAUUAUUGUUGCCAUUUUGGAAAAAAAAUUUCAACGUCGUGAAAAUAUAUCUCGAACCACGUCACAACCAGUGUACGCGUGGUUGUUAAGAUAUUUAGACUUCGUUGAGAUUUGGAUUUCGGUUGCAUAAAUGCACGCCCAUAUUUAGGGAGGUAAUUUUAUUAAAUAUGCGCCCUAAGCGACCAAUGUAGUGUUGUUUUGGACAAGGCCGUGAAAUUUUAUUAAACGGCCCGUUCCGGAGUCUAAGCAAUCUUGCAUAAAAUAUAUAUGGAGGGCCCCGUGAUUUGUGUAUUUUUUUUAGCGAGGCACGCUAAUGCAUCUCGAACUACGUCACAACCAGUGUACUCGUAGUUUGUUGACGCAUUCCGACUUUGCCGGGACUUGGAUUUGGGCAGCAUAAAUACACACCUGAUCUUAGGUAUUAAUUAAGGCGCAUCCUAAAGAGACUAACGUAUUUGUUAUUUUGGGAAGACGCCAUGAAAUUCAUUAAACGGCCAAAUCCAAAGUCUACUCGCUUAUUAUGUCCUUAUAAUUGGGGACCCCGCGAUUUGUAAUUUGUUUUGGUGAGGCACACCCCAUUUUAUUUUUUAAAGGAUGUCCUAAAGCGACUAAUAUUUUCUAUUUGUUUGUCUCUAAAAUUGAAAAAGAGAAUCCUACAUUUAUUUACAUACCGGAAUUAUUAGAACUAAGUUAUGAACAUGGUUUAUUAGAGGCUGAAAUUAACCGGGUGAGCCUCAGUUUUUAACAUUUGUAGGCCCAUGCCUAGCGUGAAGGAGGCAGAAUUGGGCCUGGGCCAUCUCGCUCGGAUUUAGGGCUAACUACAUGGCACUACACGUUUUGAAUUUGCGAUGUGGCAGAAACGAAAUCAACGGUUAAAGAAACUUAUUUUUGAAUCUGAAAUAGACGAACUGUCAGCUAGAAGAAUUAGAAUUACUUGUUAAUUAUCUUUACACGUGAUGUCUAUGUAAAUGUGCUAUAACUGAAUUGAAAACUGGAAAUGGAAGAAUAGACAUGCUACUUCAUUGUUUUUUUUCCUAACUAGCAUACGUUGGAUAGAACUUGCAGAUUUAAACUACUGCAGAUUAAUACUUAUACAUACAUUUCCAGAUGCUCACGUUAUUCUACUGAACUAAGAACUGAUACACAUAUAACUUAACAUAAAAAAAACACUAGAUGACUUCGAGCUUUAAGGCCCUUGUUUUAUUCAUGAUUCAAAGGUUCCAUCUACAUUGUGUACAAGUGUAGUAUGUGUACCUGGUAUUUCUGAAAAGCAAACAAGAGAGGGAGUAUGAGCAGAGGACAGGCAAACACAGCAAUACACAGCUCAACAACACACAUCAAAACCUAGUGGCAAUAGCAGAAAUCCUAGCAAUAGAUGAAGAAAACCAAACAGGCAGAGUCCACAAUAAAUGCAAUAGUACUUGUAUACAAAUAGCAAAACUCAGCAACACCCAAAUGUAUAUCAGCAACACCAGAAACCAACUAACACCAAAAAACCCAAGAAUAAUACGCUGACAAUUCAGUAACACUCUAGAACACACUCACAAUCACAGCAAAGAUGAACAGAUGUGAGGGCAGUAAUGUUUCUGCUUAUGAACACUCAAAACUCAGCCUUAAACUUAAUUAAUUUCAAUGAGAACUUUAGGGUAAAAAUUUCCAUCCUUAGACACUCUAUUACUCUUAACUUGUCUAUUUUUUCUCUCUGGAGUUUUGAAGGUAAAAAAACCCAGCCCUUAUUAUGUUCUAAACCAGCCUAUAUAUAAGCUACAUAGAGCACUUGGCUCUGCAGGUCUUGAACCUACCCAUACCCAUGUAUUCCCAUGCCUAACAGGCAAUUUUGAUGGAAACAAAUGUUCCCCAUUAGUGUUCUAUUAGUGCCCUGUUCUGAUCAAGAAAUGAUGGGGAUGAGUUAUAUUAUUAAUAACAGUCCUCAUACCUUGGCUUGUCAUCCUAAUUAGGGUAAACAAAGGUUUUUAAUCAGGCCAUUAGGGUAGGCCUUGUCAGGGUCAUGUGCAAGCCUUAUUAGGCUGUCUAAGUUAACCCUUAUCCCUUAGUUAUUAACUGUGUUUACCUAAAGUUUAGGGUCUGGAAUCACUACUAUAUAACUUUGUAUUCCAUUUCUAAUUUCAAGCCUUAAUCUUAUGAUUUCUACCACUAAUACCAAUCUUAGGUUCAAGUGAGGAGAAUGAUGCAAAUUUAAGGGUGAGCUGGUCAAUCUGGUAAACAAGACCUGACCAAGCUCCAAACUAAUACACAAGAAAGUAACAUGCUUAGCAAAACUAAUGAGUAGAGGCAUAUUUGAUGCACAAGAGCAAACAUACUGGCAGUCAAGCAAAUUAGCAACUUAGGCUUCUUCUAAUUCUUUAAGUUUCAUGUGAGUUCAGUUGACGACUAUUGCCUAAUUAAUUAUAUAAAAUAUUAUAAAUAGUUAAUAUUCAAGGAAGCACAGUGUAUAAGCAGGCUUUGAGAUUUUAGUGCUUUUCAGACUGGGAAAAUAACAUGAACUAACUAAAAAACAAAAUCUAAUCUUAAAAUGAUGAAUACAACUCAGAAUAACAAUUAACAAACACACGAACAAAUAGAAAUGGCCAAAUAAAAGGCCUUUUAAAGAGAUGAGCAUAGAUUGAAAAAGAACAAAAGAGAAACUUAACUAAAAAACUAUGAUGCAAUAUCACAAAACAAUACACCUAAAAAGAAAAAGAAAGAGGCGGAAACUUAGCUUUUUCAGGCUCAGGGACCAAAUGACUAGGAUUUGACCGGAUUCGACCGUGUUCGACCAUUUUUAUUCUAGGGCAAUCAUAUAUUUUAUUAUUAUUUCUAUUCUAACUAGUAUAUAUGGAGAUUUGGUGGCAUAGAUUAUAUUUCCUUGCUCCAUAACUGGUAGUGUUAUUACUAAUAGCAAAGUGUGUACUAAUAUUUGUAGGGACUCAAGGUUUGCCUGGCAAUCACGUAGAAUUAGAAAAGGAACAAGAAAUAAAGAAAAUAAAUAAAAUAUAAAAUAAAGUAGUCAAAUUUGAGUGUGAAAUAAUUUAUGGUAAAAAUAACAAUAAUACGAUUUGGGAAAAAAUAAAUGAAUAAAAGAGAAUAGAAAAUAAGAAGAAAACGAGAAAAGAAAAGGAGAAAAAAAAAAGAAAAAAAGGAAAAAAAAUAUAGAAAUAAAAAAGAAUUGGAAAGAAAAGAGAUAAUUUCCACAAAAAUUAAUAUAGGUAGAAAAUGUAAUUAGUUUAGUAGGUAAAAUAAAUGAAUAAAUAAGAGUAAAUAGUUUUAUUUUUAUGGGUAACUGUGUUAUUUCCUUGUUCUUUAGUGUAAUUUCCUUGUUCUUUAGUGUAAUUGGGCUGCUCAAGUGCUUGGCCCAUUUGAACAUAGCAGUCCUAUUUUCCUUUCUUUGUUAGACUCUGCAAAAUUAUCCACUUUAGACUAAAAAAUCUAAUUAAAUCUUAUUUUUGUAUGGAUAACCUAUUUAUCUAUUUUACCUAAUGAUGGACUAAUGCAACUAAUUAACUAGCCUAAGAAUGUACUUUGAGAUUUUAUGUAUUUAACUAAUGCAUCUAACGAUGUAAUUAAAUCCUAAAAAUGCGAUUAAAGUGUCAGAAUGCAACAAAUAAAAGAUGAAAAUAUCUUUUACAUUUUUUGAUUUAAGAUAUUCCUAAUUAGCCAAAAAAAUGCAACUAAAUGCAAUAAACUGCAGACAACAAAUCUUUCAAAUCCUACAAAAAUCUAAACCAAGUAGAAAACUAUUUUUGGGGGCUUUUUAGGAGUUAUUUUUUCAAGUAGGGUAUAAAUUAUGUGCUCACAAACACAAUUCAAUAUUUCGCUUUUUGUUAUUAAACACCUCUCAUCACUAUUUUUUAGGCGGAUUAUCUAUUUAGUAAUACAUUCGCGCGAAUACAUAAAAUACAGAAUUAAACAAUUAUAAUCCAUGUUUUUUAGGCGGAUUACCUCACUGUAUUUAUAAAUAUAGCCGCACAAAUGCAUGGAACACAGAGUUAACCCUUGUAAUCCCUAUUUUUAGGUUAUUACCUCUCUAUAUUUAUAAAUAUGAUGUGUGAAUACAUGAAAUAUAGCAUAGUAGCAACGAGAAUUUUGUAGAAUUAAUUUUGUUGAGUUAAAUUAGGAGUGAUACAUGCUAAUUGAUUCUCUUUUCGUUAUUCAACAGCUGGACCCCCUAUUUUUUGAGGUGAAUUCCGCUACUGCGUCGCCAGAGCUGUCGCACCUCCUUUUCCACCCCGCGAGGAUUAAGGGGAGUUUUUCAAUUAAAGGGCAAUAGAAACGGGAUUAUUUGUUAAAGAUUUAGAGUCGCCACUUGGGAGAUAUAUGGUGUCCCAAGUCACCGGUUGAAUCCCCAAUCGAGAAAAAUUUGACUCUAUUUAACAGUCCGCGAACCAGAAAUCUGGACAAGGAAUUAUGUUAACUCGGGAGAAGGUGUUAGGCAUUCCCGAGUUCUGUGGUUCUAGCACGGUCGCUCAACUGUCAUAUUUAGCUUACUUAUCCGAUUUUUAUUGCAUGUUGUAACUUAUGUGCCAAUUUUAACUUUUAACCACUUUUAUUCAAAUUAUUAAAGAAGAUUGAACAUCAUGUGAAAUAUGUCUUUAAAUUGCGCCGCAUGAAAUGAACUCGCAAAUCUGAACAUACCUGAUUCGAUGUUCUGGGAUUUGGAUUUGGGUUGCAUGAAAUGCACACCCAAGUUUAGGAGGUAAAAUUAUUAAUUACGCACCUAAAGAUACUAAUGCGUUAUUAUUUUGAGAAUGCCGUGAAAUUCACCAAACGGCAUGUCUCGUAGUCUAAGUAUACAUGUAUGAGGGCCCCAUAUUUUACGAAUUAUUUUGGCGAGGCACACCUCAUUUAUUUUAAGGAUAUCCUAAAGUAACUACAUUUCUAUUAAAUUUUUCUCUAAUUUAAAGAGGAAAAAUCCUAGUUAAUUACAUGCUAAAAAUGUAGCAUAUUAAUAGCUAAAUUAAUACAAAUAUUAACGGAAGGGAAUAUUACAAAAAUUUAAAUUUUAAACAAAAUCGGGAUCAACAAACAAUAUAUUCAAAGGAGAUUAAUUAUCCUACAACUAAAUUAAAUCCACAUAGUUAUAUGAAUAAACCAAUAAUUAUUUACAACUAUUAAAAAAAACUAAAAUUAACCUUAAUUAUUAAUGCUUACUCGAAAGUUUAUUAAAUCUAAAAUUUAAACCAUCUUGCUAGAUUCACGCCUAAUGGAUUAAUGUUCUUAGCCUUGUUACAUUGAAUCAGACAUUAAAAGCAUCAAAUCUACCGAUUCUACAAAAUUACUAACUUGAUGUAUUUGCCUAACCUUGUUACAUUGAAUCACACAUUAAAAGCGUCAAGUCUGCGGAUUCUACGGAAUUACUAACCUAUUAUGAGAACUAGUGAAGCUGAAACUAUUAGCUAUGCGAUUCUUACAGACAUACAUCCUAUAGUGUAAUAAUCUAACAGUUUACUCAAAUUAAACAAGAAUAUCAUAUUGACUAUAUUCGCGCCAUUUCAAGGAUCUUAGUUUCAUAAUCUAAUGUUAUGCUUCAGUCAACUGCUAAUUAGUGACCUUAUAAAGGGGAACAGUCCUAAUUAUGCAUGCCUCUACCAUUCGUAUAGCAAGAAAAUAUAUAACUCAUCUUUAACUAUAAUACAAAUAUGCUAUAACUAAAUACAUAAAUUUCUGCUAUUUCAUUUCAUCUUCAAGGCGUACAUCAAAGUGAUUCAAAGUGGUGUAACUAGUAUUGGAAUAUAAAGAAGAGGAAGAUCAGUAGGAAGCAAUGGCAGCACACACACAACAACAGUUCAACAUCACGGGAGUAGCCCAGCAACAGCGGGGAUUGCAGAAAAAACCCAGGAGAUUACAACCAAGCAGAAAAAUCAGGAAAUUCCAAACCAACCGAAAACCAACAGUAAACCCAAGCAACACUACUUGAAUGCCAGUAGUAAAGCACAAACCAGCAAAGAAAUAAUCAGUUGCCAAAAAUAGGCACUUCUGAUUUUUAACAUUCAAGAAGAGAUGCUUGAAGCUUCAAUGAACAAUAGCAAUUGAUGCUGAUUUUUAACAGCAAAGAAAAUAAACAGAUUUUUCUUCAGUUUCUCACUUUCGAACUCUCUCUACUUCUUAAGAUUCAAAAUCUUUUUAUCUCCCCUCUAGUUCUGAAAUUUCAAUCUCAAAUUUCAGUCCUCUUUAAGUGUUAAAUGACUCCUAUUUUAUAUCCCAAGCAAGACACUUUCUUUUACCUUUUAACUAUUAACUUUUACUUUUAAACUAUUAUUACUAACCCUUUUAGCUCUUUUAUUUUUUCAGUCCAAUAUUCUUCUACUAUGUAUCUUUUAACUUUUAUUCUUUCCAAUUAAGUACAAGCAGUCAACACGGACCCCACAGUCCCACCCCUUUUCAAUUGUCAAAGAAGACCCCUUUUUACUUUACAUCAUUAUAUCUUGUCCCCCGCUGUAUUAUUUUAAUAUAUUAUUGUUGUCAUUAAAUCUAUUUAUUAUUAAAUUUAUUUUCACAUUUUUUCCAUUUUUUAACUCAAUAUUUUCUUUUUCUUGAUUAAUCUGUUUUAGUUAAUAAAUUAAAAAAAAUAUAAAAUAUCAUAACAUGAUUAUACUAAAUUUACAUAUAUUUUAACUAAAUCCGAUUUUAACUAAUUUACUUAUUACGGAAUAAACAAAACCUGAUAAUUAACAAAAUAAAUACAAACUCUGAAAAAAUAAACAACAAAAAUAAACAUGGCAGAAAUAAAAAAAAUAUAAAUGCUUAAAUUAAAUUAUGAGAACGGAAUAUAAUGCGCAAAUUAAAUAAAAAAUAGAAUAUAAUGCGGGGAAAAAAGUAAUAGUAAAUAAAUCCGGAAAUUAAUGAAAAAUAAAAAAAUGCAUAAAUGCAUGAAAUAAAUAACAAAUACGUAGAUAAAAUUACAAAAUUUAAAGGGUCUAAUCGUGAAAAAAAAAACCUCAACCCAGGACUCCCGUCUUGGAUCUAAUAUCCUUGAUGGAAGAUCUUGACCGGAGGAUUUUAUAAUGACUAGAAAAAAUGAAAAAAGAAGUAGAUCUAAGGUUUUGACAUUUUUAGAUUCAAGAUCUAUGGAUUUUGGUUGAAUUUUUGGGGAUUUGGUUGGUAGGAUGAUGUUUAAGAGGAUGAGAGAAGUGUAUGGUGUGAGUUUGAGGGUUUUUUGGAGUUUCUGCCGCCGACGGAGAUUUCGGGGGGGCGGCGGCGGCGGCGGUGGAGGAGGCGGCGGCGGCGAGGGCACCACCGUGGAGGCGGCAGCGGCGGUGGAGUGAGAAGAGGGAGGUAGAGAGGUUUUGAGUUUAGAGAGAUGUGAAGUGGAAGAAUGAAGAGAUUAAAAGUGAGAGGGCUGGGUUUUCUUUUGAAUAAUUUUUAUAUUAAAAAAAAGGGUGAGUUUCGGACCGUUGGAUUUACUAGAGAUCAAUGGUCAAAAUUGAGUGGGGAGAUGUGGUGGAUCAGAUUUUUAAGGAUUUGGACUUUGUUUAUUGUUUUUUUUGUUUUGGU
rnacentral:lncRNA from 1 species